UUUCCUACGGGGGGCAGCAGUGAGGAAUAUUGGUCAAUGGGCGGGAGCCUGAACCAGCCAAGUCGCGUGAGGGAAGACGGUCCUACGGAUUGUAAACCUCUUUUGCCGGGGAGCAACGGGGUCCUUGCGAGGGCCCAAUGAGAGUACCCGGAGAAAAAGCAUCGGCUAACUCCGUGCCAGCAGCCGCGGUAAUACGGAGGAUGCGAGCGUUAUCCGGAUUUAUUGGGUUUAAAGGGUGCGCAGGCGGCCUGUUAAGUCAGCGGUAAAAGCCCGGGGCUCAACCCCGGCGAGCCGUUGAAACUGGC
rnacentral:rRNA from 1 species